CAAGAGGAUGGUGCCAGACUGUUCUCGGUGGUGCCCAGCAACAGGACAAGGAACAAUUGCAAUAAACUAAAUAGCAAUAAACUAAAACACAAGAAGUUUCAGCUCAAUAUUGAGGAAGAACUUAUUUACAUUGAGGGUGGCAGAGCACUGGAACAGGCUGCCGGGAAGGUUGUGGAGUCUCCCUUUUUGGAGACAUUCGAAGCCCACCUGAACACAUUCCUGUGUCACCUGCUCUAGGUGACCUUGCCUUGGACUAGAUGAAUUCCAGAGGUCCCUUCCAACCCUAACAAUUCUAUGAUUCUGUGAGAUGGGCCUGUGCUGGCACAGGGCAGUGUGGCUGCGCACUGUGAUUGUCGAGGCUCCUCUGCAGCAGUGCCCAGCUCAUGGGGGGCAUCUCCUGUCUGUUGAGACUCCUGAUCCAGCCCUUCAGGCAGUGGAAAGAUCUGAGGCUUAUUUUACUCUUUGAAGCCCAACCCCACCCCUUGCCAUGUUUGGGAUGGAAGAACUCAUGAUGGAUGUUUGGGAUGGAAGAGUUAUAUCUGCAGAGCUGCUUGUCUCCAAAGGGCACCCAUCCCAUGGAGACCAGGGUGAGGGUGUGCUGCCUGCAGCACAUCACAGACACCCUGUGACCCAGUGAUGAGCACUCACUGCUGUGCCAGGCACCCCUCUGACCAUCACAGGUUCCUCUCUCUCUCCUCACCUGCAUCUUUUGAAACUCUGAGGGCUGUCUGCAUGAAGUCAGUGUUUAACUGCUCUGAUACAAACCCACUGCACGUGAGCUUCCAAGUCUGUCUGCUUGGUGGAAAACAGAACUGUUCUCAUCUGACUCGUGUUUGUGGGAAGGAACACUGAAGGUAAAGCAACUCUGGAAAACAAAUACAGGACACUUGAGGGCAGGACAGCUCCAAAAUGCAAACAGAAAGUGGAUUCAUAAGCUGAAAUCCAGCAAUCUUGUAUUUCUUUAUGAAGUAUUCCGAGACUUGCGGCUCUUAAAAAGCACAGUAAAAUAAAUAGUGGAUUAAAUGGA